UCCGGACUGGCGAGCGCGGCGACCGCGAGCACCUGGUACGCGAUCUCGACCCCGGCGUUGAUCCCCUUUUCCGGUUCGAGCCCGGCGUGCGAGGC
rnacentral:tRNA from 1 species